rnacentral:lncRNA from 1 species
AAAAAUAGUUGGAAGCCUGAAAAAGCAGGUUCAGGAGUUGAAAGAAGAACUUGCACAAGCACGGCAGUGCAUUGAUGCCUCAAGAAUGGUGAAGCGGCUAAAGCACAUGCUUGAAAAUGCUAGCACUCCUGCUGAGCCUGUUGGCAUCGCAGCAGCCCUAAAAGUAGACAUCGGGGAUGGAGUCUGAGUUGAUGAAGGGCUGCUGAAGAGGCUGCGCCUAGAUGCGAACUAUUCAGGCUCGCGGUUCGCAAGGGGCCUCCUCAAAGCCAUGCUCACGAAAGAAGAGCUCGAAGGGAGAUCCCUCUGUGGGCGGACCUCGAAUGCACACAAAGGACUUCUUCAAAAGCAGCCAUUGGACAGCAAGAAAGUGAACGCCAUACUGGACUACACAACGCAAAACUUCAGUGUGCUGCCAGGUCAGCUCAAGAACUCAUUAUGCUCAUUGUUAGCCAGGGGCUAUUAAAUGGCUGUGUUCAAGCA